ACACCACUUGCAGCAACAGUUGAUCUGGCAUGGACGGUGCUUAAUCGGCUGUUUCGCAAGCACUGACAGCCUUUUGACGUAUAAUCGAGCCAGUGAAAAACGGCUUCAAGCGAAAUGUAUGGGGAUGACGUUCGUGACAGGGAUGUGAUUAAGAAGCACAAGUGACCUCGGAGACUACAUUAGGUGAAAUACAUCGUGUUAUCGAGUCUACUUGGGUCGAAAGGCCAGUGUAUAACAAUCAAUUCGCGCCGCUGCUGCGCGGGUGAUUUUAUUCCUCAAACGGCAAGCGAUAAAGCUCUCGGCACGACAAAGUGCGAUUUUCAUUCACUUGCUCAACGUAAUAAUUAGGGACAGUGGUAAAUCACGAUAUUGCGGAAGCCGCGAAUUCCGCGAAAUCUAGCUUCGACCGCGAAAUUCACAAAAACCCGCAAAAUGCCUCGAAAAUAAUAAAAAACAGCAACAUUCUAUGACAAUCAUGAAACAUUUCGAUUUGCAACCUACAAAAUUCAUGAAAACCAGCAACAAGGACAAAGCUAAAGAUUAAUGAGCACCUAGAUGGCAAUGGAAUGUCGUUUUCUACGCAACCAAUAACAUGAAACAGUACUACAACCGCUCUCUUACAACGCGAUUUUGUCAGUCCUAAUUGAAUUUUGCGAUUGGUGACGUGCAUGAUAGAAUUCCUGAGAGUGCAGCCAUGAAAUCCAAGUUGCAAGAUGAACGAGGGAGGCCUACAAGCCAGCAUCUUUUUUAAAAUCGACAGUGAGAUUGGUAUUCGAAUCGCGGACGUUUUCCCGGUUGGCAAUUGAAUCAUUAUCGAUUUCCGGAAACUCGGUAGAUACGGAACGCAGCGUGAGCCAGUAUAACAUGAAUAAUACGUGCCUAACGACACCACAAUAUAACUGAAAAUAAUUUGGCA